rnacentral:rRNA from 1 species
AGAGUUUGAUCCUGGCUCAGGAUGAACGCUAGCGGCAGGCUUAACACAUGCAAGUCGAGGGGCAGCGCGGGAUAGCAAUAUUCUGGCGGCGACCGGCGGAAGGGUGCGUAACGCGUGAGCGACAUGCCCGUUGCCCGGGGACAACCGGUGGAAACGCCGACUAAUCCCCGAUGGGAUACGAUGCUUCAUGGCAUUGUAUUGAAAGUUACGGCGGCGACGGAUUGGCUCGCGUCCGAUUAGCUUGUUGGCGGGGUAACGGCCCACCAAGGCUACGAUCGGUAGGGGUUCUGAGAGGAAGGCCCCCCACAAUGGGACUGAGACACGGCCCAUACUCCUACGGGAGGCAGCAGUGAGGAAUAUUGGUCAAUGGGCGGAAGCCUGAACCAGCCAUGCCGCGUGCGGGAAGGAGGCCCUAUGGGCUGUGAACCGCUUUUGCCUGGGGGCAAUAAGGGCGUCGCGCACGUCCGAUGAGAGUACCAGGCGAAUAAGCAUCGGCUAACUCCGUGCCAGCAGCCGCGGUAAUACGGGGGAUGCGAGCGUUAUCCGGAUUCAUUGGGUUUAAAGGGUGCGUAGGCUGUGCGUCAAGUCGGGGGUGAAAUUCCGGUGCUCAACUCCGGGGCUGCCCUUGAUACUGUCGCGCUGGAGUGCGGAUGCCGCCGGAGGAAUGAGUGGUGUAGCGGUGAAAUGCUUAGAUAUCACUCAGAACACCGAUUGCGAAGGCAUCUGGCGAAUCCGUAACUGACGCUGAGGCACGAAAGCGUGGGGAUAGAACAGGAUUAGAUACCCUGGUAUUCCACGCCGUAAACGAU